UUAAUGUGGAGUAGUAACACCUUUUUCAAAGGGCUUCCAAAGGAGCUCCUCCUCAAGGAGAGGCUUGGUGAGAAGAAGCACAUACCAGAAAGGCCCUUGUUGAAGGCAGCACUUCCCCAUAGCCUGCUGUUUUCUCCACAGGCUUGAUCUUCCAAAUGUCAGUAAAACUUCUGCCCAGCAGUACGACCAAGGAGAACAUGCUGUGGGUAUGGCAUGUUCCUGCUCCUGCAGAACCAGCUCCAAGGAGAGGCAGGAGAGCUCAGUACAGACCUACAGAUUCAGCAUGCAGGCUCCAGAAUCCUAUUGAUGUAAUUCCGCUUUUCCUUGUUGGGAUUAGGACAAGCAUGCUCGCAGGCUCCCGUUAUCGCAGUGGAGGUAACGCGGGACGGAGCGAGGGCAGGCAGUGCUGAGUGAUCCUUGCCAGGUACCCAGCUGGCGCUGCCAAAGCGCGCGGGGCUUUCCUCCAAAUGCUUCCACCGCAGGAGAAACGUGUCUUCUGCUGCCAAGGGUCUGGGAAUGUCACUUAGCCUGGGGAAAGCUUGCCAUCGCUGUAUGACAGCCACUUCACCAGUCAGUCCAGUAACGCUCUGUGAAAACAAAAGGUUACGUGCCCCGUGCCAGAAGGACUGUCUUCACUGACAGUGGAACACGUCAGAUGUCUGGCCAUUUCAGGAGCUGUUCUCAGAAAGAACACGAGGAAAUGGGAGUCAUGUGUUACAGAGCAGUGUCCUCUGCAGUCCAAGGCACACUGACUAAACGUAUGUCACAUUCCUAUAGCACCUCUUAGGAUAAAUGUUGUAUGAACUAUAUCAAAAGUCUGGUUUCCUUCCUCAUAAAAAAGUUCCUUUGAAAUCUGAAGUUAUCUGAGUUGCCUGCACCCCAUUUUUUUGUUCAUUUCUUUAGCAAAUGAAUAAAGAUGGAUUUUUUUUCA
rnacentral:lncRNA from 1 species